AUUUCAGCGGGCGUUCUUUGCAUUCAGAAAUCUUAUAACAAUACAAUUCAGUCGUCAGGCUCACAGAUUGUCAAACAUUUUGAAUGAUUGCUAACAAAUGUUAAGCACGACACACUAGCUGUAAUGGCACCAGUGGAAAGUCAGUGAACCAGAGAAACGAGUGUGAAUGUGCAGAACUGCAAUGCUAGUCUUGUGGUAGCAGUAGAAUCAAAUGGUAUUUACUUUCCAGACAUGCGUCUUACAAUAAACCUGAAGUACAUAUUCCAUAGUAACAACUUAUUUUUUAACUUACAGAUUCUGUAGUUCACAAGAUUUUGGAUGGAACCUGGACUAAAAAUAGUGGAUACACGAGACUGCUACACCAAGUACAGCAAAUGAAUUUUCCGCACUGGCAGCCCUACAUCAAAUGAAUAAACCUAUAUAUACUAAUUACUGGAUUCAAAAAAUUAUAUUUUUACAUGACCAGGUUCCUCAUAUCCAUAGCACACAUUCACAACUGACACAAAUUACCUGCUCACCAUGAGGUUGUCAGCAUUAGGACUCGGGCAACACGCCAGAUACUCUCCACUGAUUUUCUCAAAAACUACAUUACUGAGGCAAAACCCAAAGCAGGUGUGUUAUCUUUUCUCUCAAUGACUAACAUUAGUGCACAAUUUCAGAAGAUUCUGUGACUAUGUGGUGGUCUCUCCAAGUGAGAUUUCUGAGGACAUUCUGUACAGAAGGCUUCAGCAGGAGAUACCUGCUGGCCAUUACAGAGGGGGAAAAAGGAGAAGCUGGGACAAUGUUCCUGAGAGAGAACUUAACUAAUGAACAUGGGUUGAAACACAUUCAGGAACUCAUGCUCAGCUCAAAGGUGAUGCAGGAUUUUAUGUCCUCCAUUUCUUGGCACACAGGUGGCUGCAUACAGGAGUGAAACGAUGACAGGAUCAAGCUGAGAUUUUUCACGUCUCUCUGGUUGGAGAUAGUACAGAAUGACUGCUGUUGCACUAAGGACAUCAGUAUAGUGGUGGUACAGAAAUGAGACUGAGCUGACUUACUAGUUUAUUUUUAUUGCUUCUUCACGUGUUUGCUAUGAAUAUGUAGAUCACAGACCCUGGUUUAUAUCUUCAGUAAGUACACGAAGUAAUUUUGGAACUACAGGUUGAAACCAUCAAAGUGUCAGCAUCUAUAUUGCUCUAAUCAAACACUUAGGUUAAAGUACUUUUCACUGUGAAGUUGAAUAUAGACAUAGUUACACGUAGACAAAUAUAUGAUGGAAGUCGGUAACACCAAACCAGAUGCACACACAGGCAAACUUUGUCUAUCUUUCUUAGUGUACAAGCUUAACUGAAGAUAAUGCUCACUUUUAUAUGAUUUCCUGUCAGCUCUUGGUCAUCCGAGGUAACUUGGUUUGGAACACCGGUGCUGACUGCAACACUCAAACUCUGCCCUGCUUGGCAUGGCACAUGAUUGGGUCACUUUUUACUUCCAAUUCACAAUCAGUGAGUGUGAAAUCAGUGGUUUAUCAAUGUGGGUGACCUCUUAAUGCACUGAUGAAAGCAGCUUGUGUUGUAUGACUACCUGAGUUGGAAGGCUUACAGCUAAUAUUCAUACUUACACAAAUUCUCUUUUUUUCUGGCAACCCUUUAUGAUUUGGUCAUUAAAACUGUGACAAGCAGUGCAGCCAAAGGUGAGGACACUUGUUAAGGGUUCCAAGCUACCACAUGCCCACAGGUGGGACCAGUGGCAUAACUGCUACUUUCAUUUCACCCCCUCCUUCACACUUACAAACACCUACCCACCUUUCUGUAAACCCAUUUCUGUCUUAAGCAUUUUCACAGAGUGACCUGGGAAAUUUUUUCCUUUGGUGUCCUAGGCCCUACAAUGAAUAAAAUUGUAAAUUUUCUACUCAGUUUGUAUAAAAGUGAAAGCCAUGAACAAAAGGUUGAUUUAGAUAAGUUUAUUAGACAUGAACAGUGAUAGAAUUUUCUCACUUAACCAGAGUCCAAACAAGGGCACAACCUUAAUUUAACAGAUACUGAACCGACAAGCUUCACACUGCAUUUGUCUACGCAAAAUAUUGCAGUAGACCUUUUAUGAAUUUCUUACUAAACCUCUCAAAGUAAUCCUCUACAUUCCUUACAUAAAAUUGUGGCAUAUUUCCAUGUGCGUUAGUGUUCUGCCCUAGUAAUCUCAAGUGUAGUGGUAUGUUAAAUUAACCUUCACUCUGUUAGUGCACUCAUAUCAAGUAAUUUAAAUUUCUACAGUAGAAUCAUCAAUCUGCCUAGUUCUUAACUAUGCCAUCACUAGUGUGCUCCAAUGCAGUUUUAUUUGCCAUACAAUUAUGUGCAAUGUAUUUUUCUUAUUAACACUUGGAAAGUUGCAGUGGAACCAGUGAUCUCCAUACUAACUGGAUGUACAUCUUCUGUCUUUGACCAUAGCACUUAUCCGUGCUGUCCCAGGAGUGUUUGUUUAUAUCAUCCGCCAUCUUUUAGUUAGGCAAAAAGUUUCUCUUGGUGUUAACGAAGUGUAUGUUGUGAGUGUAAAACGGUUAUUUCGUGCUCCGCAUACAACUGUACGAACCGGUGGAGCAAGGAAAGCAAUUUAACUUUCCACAGGUUUCCUCUGCAAAAGGUUUCACGCCUACAAGGGCUAGUUUCUUGUGUGGAGAUCACUUCUUGGAAGAAGAUUAUUUAGUAAGGCCUGGUACUUCGAGAAGGCAUCUCAAGCCUGAUGCAGUGCCAUCACAGUUUGCGUUUCCGACGCAUUUAAUGCCCAAGGAAAAGCAACCAAGGUGACAGAUUAGAAUAACAACUGAACAGCCUACUGCAGAAACUCAUGAUUAUAUUGAACAGUUUUCUCAGAGUUGUGAAACAUCUAAGGAACGUGGAUCCCAAACACAAAUAGAAAUGAUUGACAAGGCCACUGACACAUGCAGUUUUUUACCAGAUGUUGUGGAGACACUGAGAAGAAAGAGCCUGCAGGGAAAAAUUAGAAGAGAGAAGAAAACUAUUCAAUGAAAGGCAUCGUAAGUGCUCUGAAAAAGAAGGGUCAUCUAACAGACAAGCUGCAUGAAUUCCUGAAUCAACUAACAGGGACUCAGGUGGAAUUAGUGUGCAAUUUGUUGAAUAAUAGUGUGUCAUCCAAGGGAAACCGGUACAAAACAGACAUUAAAAUGUUUUCAAUGACAGUGUAUUUUUACUCUAAGGCAUAUGAAUAUUUACAGACAUUAAUGCCUCUGCCUCACAAAUCACUGAUUUCUCGUUGGGCAGGGACUGUGAAUUGUGAUCCUGGCUUUUUUUAGGUGAUGUGUUCAGGUACUUUUAGUUUAACCAUCAAGUGAGGACUGAAUUUAAAGAUUCUAGCCUCAUAAGAGACAGUAUGGCAAUUAGAAAACAGGUAGUGUGGGACCAGGAAACUAAGAGGUAUACAGGUUUUGUAGAUUUUGGAGAAGUUGAACAAUCAAAAGAAGUGAAAGAAGCUUCAGAGGCAUUACUUUUUAUGCUUGUGUCCAUAAAAGGUAAAUUUAAGUGCCCUGUAGCGUAUUUUUUAGUGAAUGGCUUUAAUGGUAGUACGCAGGUAAAGUUAAUAAACUCUGCUAUGGAGAGGCUAAGCAAUUCAGGCAUCAGGAUUUGGGCAGUCACUUGUAAUGGCACAAGGACAAAUAUAAGUACUCUUCGUUCAUUGGGAUGCAGUAUUAAUUUUCAUCAAAAAGUUUUCUUCUCAGUUCCUUCGCCCAGUUUCAAACCACAAUGUUUACUGCAUUUUGGAUAUGUGUCAUUUAGUGAAACUUGUCUUGAAAUGCAUUAGCAGAAGUAGGUGUUAUUGAGUCUACAAAUGGCCAUGUUAAGUGGCAGUACUUAAAAGAACUAAAUGAGUUGCAAAUUGAGGAAGACAUGACAUUUGGUAACAGGUUGUCAGGGCAACAUAUUAAUUAUGUUAAUAAAAAGAUGAAUGUCAGCUUAGCAGUUCAGACACUCAGUUUGAGUGUUGCAGAUACUAUAGAUUUUUUUAGAAGAGCUGGCAAUCCCAGAUUCCAUGGUAGUGAGGCAACAGUGGAAUUUUUGAUGUCUAACUCCAGCAAUCCUCUAGCUUCAGAAUAUAAAGCCAGCCUGAAACUUAGUAAUCAGACAUACUGGCUUGAUAUUUUUCUUCAGACAGAAUCUUAUAUAAGAAGUUUAAAAGUAAAUGGUGUUUCUCUCGUGCAGCACCCAAGAAAUGCUUUUGCCUUUGGCAUAAUUUUGAACAUGCAUUUGAUUAAAGCCAUUGCACUGGAAAUAAUGACUAGGGAAAAUUCUCCUCUGCAAUAUUUAUUGACAUAGUUUUCCCAAGAUCAUAUUGAACUCUUCUUCUCAUGUGUGAGAUCUAGAGGGGGUUGGAAUAACAACCCAAAUUCAUACCAGUUGAAGUGUGCUAUGUGCAAGUUGCUUUUAGGCACUAAUGUUAGCAUGUGUUCAAUGGUACCUGUAGGACUGUAUGAUUUCCGAUCACAAAAGUGUCCUCUUGUAGAUGAAGUAGAAAAAUGGUGCUCACUUACUGAAGAAGGUACUCUGUUUUCCGCAUACAAGCAGAACAUUUUGUACUACAUUGCAGGGUAUGUUGCCCUCACAAUUUUUAAACAAGUUACAUGUAAGGACUGCCUCGACAUUCUUAGGCCACGCAACAUAUGCACUUAGUACUGCAGAAGACAGCUCAUUCACAAAAUUUAUAAGCCGAGGCAAGCUUAUUGAAACAAAUAAUGCUGUAUACUCUGUGGUGGAGCACUCAGAAAAAGUGUGGUGACAUGAGGCAAAAGCACUUAAUUAGUAAGAUUGUCAUGUGUUUGAAGUAUUCAUACCCUAAACUUAACCAUGACUUCUAUAAUGAAUGCAGAAUUUAAGAUUUGCAUGAGAGACAGCUUGUACGUAAGAUUGCAUCCAGGUACAUUCAGGUGUGGUUGAAACAUAUGGGAAAAGGUUUUCAGUUGAGAAAAUAGGUCACUAUAUAACUAGUGUAAGACAAAAACUCAGUAAGAUUAUUUUAUUCAGUAAUGUGUAGUGUUGUGCCUGUAACAUUGCAGCAGUGGUUAAAAAUGUAUGGA